rnacentral:rRNA from 1 species
CCUACGGGAGGCAGCAGUAGGGAAUCUUCCACAAUGGGCGAAAGCCUGAUGGAGCAACGCCGCGUGGGUGAAGAAGGUCUUCGGAUCGUAAAACUCUGUUGUUAGAGAAGAAAGUGCGUGAGAGUAACUGUUCACGUGUCGACGGUAUCUAACUAGAAAGCCACGGCUAACUACGUGCCAGCAGCCGCGGUAAUACGUAGGUGGCAAGCGUUAUCCGGAUUUAUUGGGCGUAAAGGGAACGCAGGCGGUCUUUUAAGUCUGAUGUGAAAGACUUCGGCUUAACCGGAGUAGUGCAUUGGAAACUAGAAGACUUGAGUACAGAAGAGGAGAGUGGAACUCCAGGUGUAGCGGUGAAAUGCGUAGAUAUAUGGAAGAACACCAGUGGCGAAAGCGGCUCUCUGGUCUGUAACUGACGCUGAGGUGCGAAAGCGUGGGUAGCAAACAGGAUUAGAUACCCUUGUAGUC